UGGACGGGUGAGUAACGCGUGAGAAUCUGCCUUAUGGACGGGGACAACAACUGGAAACGGUUGCUAAAACCCGAUGUGCCCUUUUUUAGGGUGAAAUAUUAAUAGCCAGAAGAGGAGCUCGCGUCUGAUUAGCUAGUUGGAGUGGUAAGAGCACACCAAGGCGACGAUCAGUAGCUGGUCUGAGAGGAUGAACAGCCACACUGGGACUGAGACACGGCCCAGACUCCUACGGGAGGCAGCAGUGGGGAAUUUUCCGCAAUGGGCGAAAGCCUGACGGAGCAAGACCGCGUGGGGGAGGAAGGUCUAUUGAUUGUAGACCCCUUUUCUGAGGAAAGAAAUAGACGACGGUACCUCAGGAAUAAGCAUCGGCUAACUCUGUGCCAGCAGCCGCGGUAAUACAGAGGAUGCAAGCGUUAUCCGGAAUUAUUGGGCGUAAAGAGUCCGUAGGGGGCUAAUCAAGUCUGUCGUUAAAGACCGCAGCUUAACUGCGGGCAGGCGAUGGAAACUGAGGAGCUAGAGAGCAGUAGGGGCAGAGGGAAUUCCCAGUGUAGCGGUGAAAUGCGUAGAGAUUGGGAAGAACAUCGGUGGCGAAAGCGCUCUGCUGGGCUGAAUCUGACCCUGAGGGACGAAAGCUAGGGGAGCAAAAGGGAUUAGAUACCCCUGUAGUC
rnacentral:rRNA from 1 species